rnacentral:rRNA from 1 species
GACGAACGCUGGCGGCGUGCUUAACACAUGCAAGUCGAACGGAAAGUCCCUGCUUUUGUGGGGUGCUCGAGUGGCGAACGGGUGAGUAACACGUGAGUAACCUGCCCUUGACUUUGGGAUAACUUCAGGAAACUGGGGCUAAUGCCGGAUAGGAGCUCCUGCUGCAUGGUGGGCGUGGGAAAGUUUCGGCGGUUGGGGAUGGACGCGCGGCUUAUCAGCUUGUUGGUGGGGUGGUGGCUUACCAAGGCUUUGACGGGUAGCCGGCCUGGGCGGGGGACCGGCCACGUUGGGAUGGAGAUACGGCCCAGACUCGUACGGGAGGCAGCAGUGGAGAAUAGUGCACAAUGGGCGGAAGCCUGAUGCAGCAACGCCGCGUGCGGGAUGACGGCCUUCGGGUUGUAAACCGCUUUCGCCUGUGACGAAGCGUGAGUGACGGUAAUGGGUAAAGAAGCACCGGCUAACUACGUG